UCGCACGAGUUCGCGCUGCCUUCCUCGCGAGUGGGUGAAGCAUGCCUUACUCGGAAAUGGGCAGCCUCGCGCGCAAGAGUUGGCUUCCUUGCCGCGCGAGCGUGGGCAGCCUCGCGCGCCAGCGUUGGCUGCCUUGCCGUGCGAGGGUGGGCAGCCUCGCGCGCCAGCGUGCGCAGCCUCGCGCGCGAUCGUUGGCUUCCUUGCCGCGCGAGCGUGCGCAGCCUGGCGCGCGAGCGUCGGCUUGCUUGCCGCGCGAGCGUGCGCAGCCUCGCGCGCCAGAGUGCGCAGCCUUGCCGCUCGAGCGUGGGCAGCCUUGCCGCGCGAGAGUUGGCUGCCUUGCCGCGCGAGAGUGGGCAACCUCGCGCGCCAGCGUGCGCAUCCUUGCCGCGAGCGUGCGCAGCCUGGCGCGCGAGCGUGGGCUUGUGUCGUGAGACAGGUUAGUUUUACCCUACUGAUGACUGCGUCGUAAUAGUAAUUCAACCUAGUACGAGAGGAACCGUUGAUUCGCACAAUUGGUCAUCGCGCUUGGUUGAAAAGCCAGUGGCGCGAAGCUACCGUGCGCUGGAUUAUGACUGAACGCCUCUAAGUCAGAAUCCGGGCUAGAGCGACGCGUGCGCCCGCCGCCCGUUUGCCGACCCGCAGUAGGGACCGCCCGGUCCCCAGAGGCACGUGUCGUAGGCCAAGCCCCCGCGGCGGAAGGGCCGCGGCGGCCGCCUUGAAUCGUAAUUCCCAUCGAGCGGCGGGUAGAAUCCUUUGCAGACGACUUAAAUACGCGACGGGGUAUUGUAAGUGGCAGAGUGGCCUUGCUGCCACGAUCCACUGAGAUUCAGCCCUACGUCGCUCAGAUUCGUCCCUCCCCCCUCACUCGCACCGUCUUCUCUUGUUCGGAACCCGUCGGAGGUUAGCCCCCUGCGGCGCACACGCCCAAGGAUCGGAGUGGACUUGUGUUUUUUCACGAGGCUAACUCUCGGCAAUAUCUAAGUGGCUGGCACAAAGGCAGCACACUCUCCUUUUCAUGAGGCUAACUCUGGCACAAAGACUUGUGUGAUGGCUUCGAAAGGAGGCUAACUCAGGCCUCGUAGCGGACUUGUGUCUAACUCUCGGCAAAAUCUAAGUGGCUGGCACAAAGGAGAAAUUUGGCUUCCGUUUUCUCCUGUGGCUAAACCCCACGCCGCCCCGAAAACGCGAAUUUUGGCCCUUUCUGGCCGAAAAAUGGGUCCCCCUGCGCGUUCGGUAAAUUGGCCAUAAAACGAGAUCCGGACCUCGGAAUAGACUUCCGUCUCCUCCGACGGUUAACAAACGCACAUAUCUACAAUGCCGGCCCAAAAUCCCCUGCCGCCCCGAAAACGCGAAAUUUGGGCAAAAUCCGUGUGCUCAAAAUGGCCACGGUUUUUGGCCAUUUUUGCCCAAAAUUUGGGACCCCGAGCUCCGGCAUAAUUUCCACCACUUUUUGGUCCCAUCAGAUAAUUCAGGUCGAUAUACGGCGCCUCCUAAAAUUUCAGCCCAUUCCGGUGCCGUUUGCAUAUCUUACGAGUAAUUUUGUGUCCCGGUUUAUCCAUUUUGGACGAUUUUAAAAACUGUUUUCCAGCGGCCAAAAAAUUGUUCCCUAAGCCCGCCAUCUACUUGAGUCCUGAGACUAAUUGCAGCAUCCGGCCCAUGGUGGUUUCUCGCAUGACGCCUAAUUGCAGCAUCCGGCCCCCAUGGAACAGCGGUAGCAGCGCCGGAAGGGACAUGGCCACUUCCCGCGCGGAAGGAAGCCACCCGCCCCAGCCAGGGCGAGCGCGGCCUGCCUCGCGCGAGGGUGCUGUGCGUGCCCCGCGAGGGUGCCGUGCGAGCCGCGCGAUCGUGCCUGGCCUGCUCGCAAGCGCGCGCUGCCUGCCCCGCGAUCGUGGGCAGCUUGCCUCGCGAGCCUGCGCUGCUUGCCGCGCGAGUGGGGGCUGCAUGGCGUGCGCAAGCCUUGCCUCGCUCGAGCGUGGGCUGCGUGCCUUGGUGGCGAGCGCCCGCUGCCUUGCCUCGCUCGAGCGUCGGCAGUUUGCCGCGCGAGUGCCAGGUGCAUGCCGCGCGCGCGCUCGUAUCCUUCCCCGCCAGCGUGCGCUGCGGGCACGCGAGGCUGGGCUACAUCCCUCGCACGAGUUCGCGCUGCCUUCCUCGCGAGUGGGUGAAGCAUGCCUUACUCGGAAAUGGGCAGCCUCGCGCGCAAGAGUUGGCUUCCUUGCCGCGCGAGCGUGGGCAGCCUCGCGCGCCAGCGUUGGCUGCCUUGCCGUGCGAGGGUGGGCAGCCUCGGCGCGCCAGCGUGCGCAGCCUCGCGCGCGCGAUCGUUGGCUUCCUUGCCAGCGGCGAGCGUGCGCAGCCUGGCGCGCGAGAGCGUCGGCUUGCUUGCCGCGCGAGCGUGCGCAGCCUCGCGCGCCAGAGUGCGCAGCCCUUGCCGCUCGAGCGUGGGCAGCCUUUGCCGCGCGAGAGUUGGCUGCCUUGCCGCGGCGAGAGUGGGCAACCUCGCGCG
rnacentral:lncRNA from 1 species